rnacentral:rRNA from 1 species
GACGAACGCUGGCGGCGUGCUUAACACAUGCAAGUCGAACGGUAAGGCUCCAGCUUGCUGGGGUACACGAGUGGCGAACGGGUGAGUAACACGUGGGUGACCUGCCCUGCACUUCGGGAUAAGCCUGGGAAACUGGGUCUAAUACCGGAUAGGACCGCACCGUGAGGGUGUGGUGGAAAGUUUUUUCGGUGUGGGAUGGGCCCGCGGCCUAUCAGCUUGUUGGUGGGGUAAUGGCCUACCAAGGCGGCGACGGGUAGCCGGCCUGAGAGGGUGGACGGCCACAUUGGGACUGAGACACGGCCCAGACUCCUACGGGAGGCAGCAGUGGGGAAUAUUGCACAAUGGGCGGAAGCCUGAUGCAGCGACGCCGCGUGGGGGAUGACGGCCUUCGGGUUGUAAACUCCUUUCACCAUCGACGAAGGGUUUCUGACGGUAGAUGGAGAAGAAGCACCGGCUAACUACGUGCCAGCAGCCGCGGUAAUACGUAGGGUGCGAGCGUUGUCCGGAAUUACUGGGCGUAAAGAGCUCGUAGGUGGUUUGUCGCGUCGUCUGUGAAAUUCCGGGGCUUAACUCCGGGCGUGCAGGCGAUACGGGCAUAACUUGAGUACUGUAGGGGAGACUGGAAUUCCUGGUGUAGCGGUGAAAUGCGCAGAUAUCAGGAGGAACACCGGUGGCGAAGGCGGGUCUCUGGGCAGUAACUGACGCUGAGGAGCGAAAGCAUGGGGAGCGAACAGGAUUAGAUACCCUGGUAGUCCAUGCCGUAAACGGUGGGCGCUAGGUGUGGGUUUCCUUCCACGGGAUCCGUGCCGUAGCUAACGCAUUAAGCGCCCCGCCUGGGGAGUACGGCCGCAAGGCUAAAACUCAAAGGAAUUGACGGGGGCCCGCACAAGCGGCGGAGCAUGUGGAUUAAUUCGAUGCAACGCGAAGAACCUUACCUGGGCUUGACAUAUACAGGAUCGCGCCAGAGAUGGUGUUUCCCUUGUGGCUUGUAUACAGGUGGUGCAUGGUUGUCGUCAGCUCGUGUCGUGAGAUGUUGGGUUAAGUCCCGCAACGAGCGCAACCCUUGUCUUAUGUUGCCAGCACGUUGUGGUGGGGACUCGUAAGAAACUGCCGGGGUUAACUCGGAGGAAGGUGGGGAUGACGUCAAAUCAUCAUGCCCCUUAUGUCCAGGGCUUCACACAUGCUACAAUGGUCGGUACAGUGGGUUGCCAGUCCGUGAGGGCGAGCUAAUCCCGCAAAGCCGGUCUCAGUUCGGAUUGGGGUCUGCAACUCGACCCCAUGAAGUCGGAGUCGCUAGUAAUCGCAGAUCAGCAAUGCUGCGGUGAAUACGUUCCCGGGCCU